GGAAUGGAAGAAAAGGAACUUUCUCUAGUUCACCCCCAUGGGCGACUUGGUGGAAGUAAUGAAACACAGAGCUAUCUGUGGUGGGUAAAGUGGAGGAAAUGAGUAAAAUAGAUGAUUUGGGUAAGCCUUCCUUCACUCCCCUGCCAGCAUUCAGCAGUCGAGAAGGUGAAGGCAUUGCUUUUGACUUCCUGCUCACUUUCCAAGGAGUUCUGGCAAAGGAACUUUAAAGGAAUCUAAAUUGGCUGCUGGAAGCAAAGACAACAAAAUCAUCCAUCCUCUGUGCCCUCCUGGGACUGAGCAAUCACCAAAGCUUGAGCUAUCCCCCUGCACAAGAUAGUGUGGCUGGCCAAAUAUGUAAGAGGGAAUGCCUUCAUUUUGCACUAAUACAGGCCCUCUUUAGGUACUGGAAUGUUCAGAGGUCUCCAUGGAGCCUUCUCUUCUCCAGGCUGAACAACCCCAACUUUCUCACCCUGUCUUCAUGGGAGAGUUGCUUCAGCCCUCUCAGCAUCUUUGUGGCUGCCCUCUGGACUUGUUCGAACAGUUUCUAUUGUUCCUUCGUGCACAAAAGCCCAACCACAUGAGAUUCAGGACACUAACUGGUGAUGAUGGUAAGGGAAGAAAGAAGCAAACAAAAACCAUCAAGCUAAAGGCCAGCAGCAUAAACAGCACAGAGAACUGUUUCCUCCAGGACAUAGGUGUUCUGGCUCCAGCACACAGAAUGGAAUCCAAAUUACAGAUACAGAAAGAGGAUUGAAACCCCAAAUACUUAGAAAGAAGAACACGGACUGGAAUCUGAUGUUAGUAGUGACAUUUCUACGGCAGGGAAUCUUGCAUCUCUGAAAGAAGUCAAAGUCACUAAGAUGAAAAUUUCAGCUUGUAAGAAAUUCUUGCAAAAAGAGUGAUAGAAAUUACUCCUGGUGAAAUUUUCUCAAAUGGGAAGGAAUGAUGUGAAACAAUUAGGUUGAUUAACUUUACAUGAAGCGUGGCUUCCAGUAAGAUUUGGGGACAACAGUAUGUACCUGUAUCAGAAAAAAUGCCCAUAAUAAAGAACCCAAGAGAAAACCUUUAGCACUCUCUGUCUGCAAGUAGGAGAUGCAAGAGAUCUCCAUGUAGAGAGCUGCAAGGGAAGUCACAGGCCAUUUCAGAUACAGGCUCUCACAAAUAUCUAAUUAUUAGGCAGAUCCAUACUGAAGUAGGGGCAGACCCACUCUAGUGAAGUAGCAUUCACUCUACUUUUCUUCUUUAGCUCUGACAUAUAGGGAAAUUCGUUGCUCAUCUACAGCACGCAUGUUUGUAAAUGGGUCCUAUCAUUUUUAACGGGGGGGAAAAAAAGCAGCCUGGGAUUUUAUAUAUUUUUUAUAUUUUGUGUGACUGUGUAUGCCUCCUUCCUUCUCACCCCCAAAAUACCAAGACUGACAAAUUGGGACAAAAAUUCAGACAAGUAUUCAGAGUGUUAUAUGGAAACUCAUUUUAGCAUUGAAAGAGUAUACCUUACAGCCAUUAGCAAAAGGUUGCCUCUGUUGGCAACUCUCAAUAUGUGUUUGGAGUAGUUAAAUUAACCUUCAGGACAGGAUUUCUGGAUCUGACUCUUUAAAGUACAAAUCUUCAAGAACAGAAUAUCUGAUUUUCCCUGCCUCUUCUUUUUGCCCUUCUGCUUCCUUUUUAGCAUGCUCUCAUCAAGUCUUCUGCUUCCUGUCAGCAAUUAAAGAGUUCCAGAUGAACAAGGGUCUGCUUCAAAUGAUUUGCCAUGUUAAAAAGAAGAAGAAAGUAUUACUAAACUCUUUCUAGGAAUGGAAAAAUUGUUUUGUUUUGUUUUUUUUUUUUUCACAAAUCAAAAGCAAAAGUAUUAAAAGAGGAGAAAAAAAUUUCCAGUAUCUCAUAUGCUGAUGAAACAAAAAAGUUCAGAGAAUGCUAGAUAUGGAUGACCUUAAAGAAAACAGUAAUGAGAAAUAAAAAUAAAUGUGGAUAGAUUUCAUAUUAGUCACAAUAGAAACCUGAAAAAAAUUUCAUGGUAUAAGUGCAUCUCAGAUUUUUGUAUUUAGUUAUAGAAACUGAGCUAUUGCUGGAAUAAUACUCUUUACUUGCUUCAGAGUAACAGAGGAUGAACAGAAAGAGAGAAUUAAAUGCAUUUCACUUCCCUGAUUCUGAGUUUGGGCUACAUGCUGCAUAAUUUCAUUUUGGCCUGAAAAAUAUAUUAAUAUCUGGAAAGGCAUAAAAGCCUUCUUUGCUUCUAUCAUCAGCAAAGUAGGUUAUCACUAGUUUUUAGGUAAGUAUUUUUGCUGCAUGAAGUAUGCUGAGACUUCAUUUAAAACUUGUUCUCUUUUCUAUUCUAUUAUCCUGGCCUGUGACAGCUCUCUCUUUAAUGUCCCUGUUUCAUAGGCUUCAUCUUGAUAACACCAACAUGCAGGGGAGAUUUAGAUAGCCAAGUGGAUUUGUUGACACUUAUUAAAACAGCCUAUACCAACUGAAGUUUUAGGUAAUUAUUUCAAUAUUUGCUACAUUAUUGUUAUGGUAACAACCAAGAACAUAUUCAAUCUCUACACCGUUUGGCAAAUACAGCAUUUUAAAUUGAAUGUUGCUUUUCUUUAAUAAGGUGUCAUAAAAUAUGCAUACAUUGUCUCUAUUACCAGUAUUACUGUAGCACAUCCCUCCUGGUUCUCCCUUUCUUAUUCUAAAUUUUUGCUUGAUAUUACUGAAAAGGAUCAAUACUUAUGCAAAGGCUGAUUAGCAUGCAGUGACUUGACAGACAUGUUAGAAGGCAGAACUAACAAAUUUCCAGCAUACUACUAGAUUAUGCAUUUCUCUGUGCAUGCAAAAAGACAUCGUUGUUCACGUACCUCUGAUACUUCUGUUGAUACUUCUGUCAACAUCUGUUCACAGAAGUGGCUAUUGGCAUGCACUUAUCUGAGAAUCACUAUGCAAAUAUAUGCAACUGCAGUGAAAGAAGUCCCUAGAAGAUUUGAACAAACCCAUUUUAUCAGAAUAAAAAUGUUGAGGUGACUGACAGGUCCAUUGUCACAGCCCUUACAGAAGCUGGCUGCCUGCUUUUUCCACUGUUAAAGCAGAAUAUUAUUUGAGUACAAGAAGCAUUACUGUGAACAUAGCAAUUCCUAAUUCUGGUAACAUUUUGCUUGAUCCUCUUUCAUUGUAGAGCAGUGGUGUAUGUCUUCAGGGAAAUCAGGCCUGGACAAUGAAGGUGAUAUGAAUUUAAAGUGAUUGUGCCAUUCACCAGAACGGACAGGCCCACUAUUGUUAGACACUACUCAGGACACCAAAGAAGAAUCCUAAAACGACCCCCUUCAUUAAAAUCAACUCUCCAUUUAUACUCAUGGAGGUAUGCAAAAGACAAAUUGAUGUGGUCCAGAUGAUGCCUUCUUAGCUACUUAUUAAUGGUGCUGGUUCAGAUGUUUGUGAUGACGGCCCAACCAGUACAGCUGAUGAAAUGCAGUACUCUCUAGUGUCUGAUCGGCCUGAGCUAAACUGCUUAGAACAAGAGGCAUUGCCAAAAGUAUUCUUUGCAACAACGACCUUCUCAGUUAUUACCCCCUUCCUGCAACUUUUCCAAGAGCCACACAUUAGCAGGUGAGUUUGAGGCUGGAGUGAAAGUUUUAUUUACAAUUCUAUAUCCUCACAUGACAUUGGAGGAGAAAGAACUGGUGUUCUAUAUUCUACAGCUGUCUACCUCCAAGGUUUUGGUAGCUCAUACAAGUACACAGGCAAAAGGUUGACAGACACAUGGUUUUUGCUAUGUCUUCCUCCCUCUUAACAGUGCAUGCAACAUAAAGCACAGUUUUUCCCAGUGUUUUGUCUUUACCAUGGCUGCAGCAGACAGAGUAAAGAGGGAAAUUCUACCGUUUACUUUGAGAGAUGGACAUGUACUGAGUCCAAUAACGCACAGAAUUCCAUGUCCUAAAAUGCUGCAUGACCAUUGCAGACCAAAGAGUGAGUGAUUCCUUAACCCCUACCUCUUCUCUGUCUUUAAAAAUAUGAAAGGCUGCUACUGUAGAUCCUAGUUCUUCAGUUCCAACAUUAAAACAACUUGUUUAGAGAUCCUGCUUGAUAAUGAGUCAGCUGCUUCUACGCUGCAUCUUGUACAUACAAGCAUAAGUAAUCUUGCCUUCCCAUCAUACAGUGUCAAACAACAGGGGGCUAAAGCAGUAGCUUAAGACAUGGGCUUAAGCAAAGGCAGCCCCCCACUUUAAAAAGCAGAUUAAGCAUGCGACAGAUGCUUUGUGGUAAUUUAUGAAUAGUGUACGUUGACCUGAUUUUUAUGAUGUUGAUUGUAUGAUUAUGUUGGCUUGAUUUAAUUAGAAGGCACAGACAAAGCUUGAAAUACUUGAUAAAUACAAACUACCCACUGAUAAACACCCUUGGGUCAGUUUGAAUUGUCAGCUGCGGAGAGCCUAUUUCUAGGCUCCAGGCAAGCUGCUGGAAUAUCUUUGGUCAGUUUGAAUGCUGAGAUGAAAACAACUCCAGUGACUACGGAAAGGACGCAUGAGCAAUAUGCUGCGAAGUCAAGUGGAUUGUCAUAGAGGGUCAACUGUUGAAGGGAACUUAUAGCACCCUACCCCCAUGACACCUUGGGGAAAAAAAAAACUUUCUGGCAAGGCAAAACACCUAAAGUCAAUUUUCCCUACUUGUUUUCCUCUCUACUGUUUUAGGACAUCUGCAUGUUCAGGAUAAAUCUGUAGGUGCCUGCAGUCUCAGGGACUAAAAAGUAUCACAGCCCUUGGCUCGGAGGGUAUGGAAAUCCUAGUAUUCUACAGCAAGUAAAUACCCAAACCUUUGCAUGAAGGGACUGAGUUCAGAGGCUCUAGAUGUAGCUAGCUCUAGUUAUAAAUAGCAGCUUAAAGUUUCAUGAUUAAAGUAAUCUGCCCCUCACAUAUGGAAACUUUGAAUGCAUUCAUAAAUGUGAGAUAAUCAACAGGAGUUCAUUUCCUCACUGUUGAUCUGGUAUUGUAGAAGACUUGCUUAUAGGGCAAGACCAUGUGGGGAAUCCUGCACAGGGGCAGGAAGGAGGGACUCCUAACCACUGGGGAGAAAACAUUCUACUAUAGUAUAUCAGAACAUUUUUAUCUCUUUGAGACCCAGACAGGGACCUGUUAGGAUAUGAUGAGGUUUGACAUCCCUCAUAGCUGAGCUUCUGUGUGAAACAGCCUGUGCUCGGGGCAGGCAAGUGAAGACAGGCAAAGAAGAAAACAGAAUACAUGCCCAGGUAAGUUCCUAUUCAGUUUGCAACUGUGAGGCACACUUCGACACGCAAACCCAGAAGUACCCUGGGUCCCGUAACGGAGAAACGCAGUGGAGUACUUCAUAUGGCAAAGUUCCCAGCCAGUUCAAUGGGGUCAGUAGUUCCCCUGAGAACUUUUGAUAUUUCUGCCAUUGCUUCUUCUAACUUACCUCAUCACAAAACCCUUUUGCCCGUAUAGCAAUGUUCAAUCUCCCACAGUCAGUGAACAUGUGUCCCUUGUACAUACCAGAAAUUUGACCUUCAGCCUUAUCAAGACUACUGUGUUCAUCACUGCAUUAGUACAUGACAAAUAGCUCCAUUCAAACAUUCCCCUGUUCCACCAUCACGGACUGAUGCCUCACUGCUGACACUGACACACUGCCUCUUGCUGCUCUGCUCACUUCCAGUUAUCCAUUUGCCAGAAUAACCUUCCUAAGCCACCAUAUACCCUGACAUUUGAAGGAUUGUGCAGGGCAAUAGGUUAUAGAGGUAAAGUGUUAUUAAUGUUUCCUGCAACAUCCAGAUCAUAGCUGGACAAAAUUUUUAUUUGAAAUGAGAAAGAUUCUAUACAGAAUUUUUUUUUUUUGGAAUUAGGGUCAAUUUUACCCAAAUGUUUAUUCUUAAAUGUAGCUGUCAUUGGGCUCAGGCUUUCAUGACAUGCAAAGAAGGUAAAAACAUUGUACUUGGACAUUUUUGAUAGUGAGGUUAUUUUGCUUUUUAAGCUCAAAACAACUUAUCCAUUUAAAAUUACUAUCAAAGUGUAUUUAAAAAUUAUUCAGAAAACUCAAAUUGAAAAUAUCACUUUGUUUCAGACCAAUGAAGACAACUCUUCACCACAAGUGGUUGUUUUUAGUCCUUAAUUCUAUGACUUUCUGUUUAAAUAUUCAUAAUCUCAAAUCAAAAUUACUUCUUUCUCUUCCUGUGUCUGUCAGAAAACCUUCUUCACAUUCAGCUGUAAUCCUGGACCCAAUUAAAAGAUUAUUUAAAUGUGCCCUUAAUUCUGAGGCUGAGUUAAAUACCUAUUCAGAUUCUCCACUGAAUAACUAUGAAUGCCAGGUAUGCUGAACUGCUAAACCUCCCCGACCCUUUCUUCUCUCCAGCUUUUCUACAUAGGACUUUUCUUCAUUGUUUAGUGGGAAAAAGAAUGACAGCAUGUUAGAAAUUGAGGAGAAGCUUCAUACAUUCAAAGAUGCUGCUCCCGACCUUUUGUUCAGCAGAGAGAGAAAAUAAAGCAACAUCUACAAAACUUCUGUUUGGAAAUAACUUGAGUUCUCUUGGACACCUGAUAGGUUUUUCCCCUCCCAUCUUCCUAAAGAGGUAUUAUUUUUGAUCUAAAGACACAGAAACAAGGACUGAAUAAAAACCAUAGAACAAACAUAUAAAAAUGGGGUAUUGUCCUUACAGAAAGCAUCUGACCAAUUAAAUUACCAUUAUUUCCCCUUCUCCCUCCAGCCUUACUGUAUACAAAUAGAAUAAACAACCAAAUUCACACUGAAGUCCAGUACUUCAUUUUUCUGUAGUUCAAACACAUUUCAGAACAGACUAGGCUCCAUUUGUAUAUACAUAUAUUAAAAAAAGAACACAUUUCAAUUAAAAACCCCCUCCACGUUUCAAGCUGCUUAUAUGUUAUACAUACACAAACAUUUCACAGAUCAGGGGAACAAGCAUGCAGAACCAACCCCAAGCAGUUAACUCCUAGCACUCUUCCUUUGUUCAGCUCCCACAAAUUUCUGCUGCUGGUGGGUGUAAGUCUUUUGAACUUCUUGAAAGAAAGAGAAAACUGUAGCUCAUUGUGUUUAACCAUGUGCUUUCCAGGGCUGCAGGCAGAACUCAAGAUGGAGCAAUAUGAACGUGUGGUGAGCAGCUCACAGCGUUCCCUAGGGCUUUUCUGUUUUUUCUUCAGUUGUUUAUCAAUUUCAAUGGGACACACAAUGGGAUCCCAAGUAUCUGUGUGCCUCAGAUAUCACUCAAUUAAUUUUACUCAGCAACAAGAGGAAAAAGAGUACUUUGAGCUUUGCUCUCUGGGGUUGAAAGUUGAAAUGAGCUGGUUCAACCAGAAUGCUGGAAAACAUGCCCACUGCUCUGCAUGAGGGGAAACACCUCUCUGUAAGAGGUGCUGGUUGUAUUCCUCAUAUCUACCCUAGCUUUUAAACACCAUUAAAUAUACCUCACUUGUUAACUUGCAAGGGCAUGCCUUCUACAGCUAAUGCCUUGUAACAAUAUUGACAGAUGCAGUCAUAACAACUAUUGCAUGGCCAGAGAAAGAAAGGAAACUACUGCCGACAUGGAAGCAGUAUAGAAGUUUUAAAAUAUGUUACGUAGUUAGAAGAGAAAAAAAUAAUUUGAAGAAUAGAUGAAAUUUAAGAAAUGGGGUAGGAAAAUCUAAGGAGGCCACAGCCAAGAAUCUGUAAAUAGGAAAUGCUCUUUAGAAGAGACUACAGAAACAGACAACUACCCAGCAAAGUAGAAGAGAGCUUUAACUCAUAUUUGCUACAGUGUGUAGUCUCACACUCAGAUACAGCAAUAACAUAAACACCUACCUCAUUAAAUCAGAUUCAUAGGGCACCCAAGAAAUUCUGCUCCUUCUUGGUCAGAAAGGAACACACGAAAUCUCAGUCACACAUUUGUCUAACCCAAGACCAAGCUGCCAAACUGAAGAGCAGACAGAAGAAGCAAAAGCUUCAGAAACCCUACCCACCCUGCUCCUGUAACAAACUAGGUAAGGGCAACCCACUCUGACCAGGUGGAAACCAUUACCCCUUUCUGUCAGGAGUUAGCACCUGGGUAGCCUCCUUUAAGCCUCCUUAAGGUCUCAUGGCAGGUGAAAGCCUUUGAGAGGUCAGGGAUUGCCAAGAGGUCAACUAAGGGAGAAAGACAAAACAACAUGUGCAACAAAUGUCUUCCCAUUAUAUCCCAAGGUUGCACAUUUGGUUUCUCAAGUCGGGAAGAGAAGGGAGGUUGGGCCCUGCACUGCUCCCUGGGGAAAGGCUGCUCUGCCAGCCUGCCUCUGACUCACUGUUGUGACAUCUGGUAUUAAAAUUUAGGUAGUUUGAAGAUCAGUGGAACAGAGCAUUUAAAAACCCAUUAUUUCACCUGUUCAUUUGAUUUUUAAAGAACUGUGUUAAUUCUUAUUUACCACACCAGGCCCCCGAAUAUACUGAGCAUUGUUCGAAGUUAUUGUGACCUUCCUUCUUAAAAGUGGAUUUAUGCCAUUACAGUCUAUCACAUAAAUCCUUCUUAGUUUGUGGAUUAUUGACCUGAUAGGCCCAAACAGCUCCAUCUGUCCUUUUAAAUGGGCAUGAAUGCUGUGAUAGUUUAUUGCUUUCACUCCUAUUAUUUGCAAAGUGCUUUCUUCCUCUCUGUAUGUGUGUGUUUGUGCUUAGUAUUCAGGGACAAUUUGUUGUCAAGUUGUUGGCUAUACUCUUUUAAAUAUAGGGCCUCCCAGUGCGAACUGCCCUCAUACAGUAACAUAAGUGAAUGUAUUGCUACUUGACUUGGGGAAAUUAAACUGUUGACUUAGAGCCAGCCUUUGAGAGUGAUGUAAAAUUGAUGGACUGGAAGAACAUCUGAAAGUGAAAAGGGACUCCCUUUUGAAAUAUUGAUGUGAAUCAAGUCUGAGUUAAUGAACCUCUUAUAGUCAUAAAGUUACUUUCAGAUAUCUACUCUAGGUGGUUCUUUUGAAAGAGCUAAAAUUAUGCUCUAAGGGACAUUUGUUGAAGUGAAAACAGGAGUAAAAUAGUUUAUUACCUGUUGAUAUGUCAGGGUGAGAGUAUGGAGAGAAAAACAGGCGUUUUUCAUUGGUCAGUAUCUGUGGGUCAAAUUAUUUAACAAGACUUAGUUAAUCAUUUUGAUGUGUUGAGUCCAAUAAUUUCGGAUGGAAGUUUUAAAGCGCUAUGAAAAGGUUCCCUGUGCAAGGAAGCCCGUUCUUUCCUGUCCCAAGGGUAUUCUACACACAGUUAUUACUGUUAGGCAAUGUACUGAAAAGCCUGGAGACCAAAUAUGGAGACAAAAAUCUGUAAAAUGUGGCUGCCACCUUGGCCUGAUGGAUUUCAUUGCUGCGCUUUUGUCCUCUUUCUGUGUGUGAGCCACUCCACCUGGCACCAGGAGGCCAGGCCAUGCAGAACAUGCGGAUGUGGCUUCCCAGUAUGCAGAAUGCUUUGCCUCUGACAUGGCUGGAUUCUCUUUGCAACAAAGAUUAGUGGAAAAGAGACAGUCUAGCAAGUCUGUUCUGAAUAGUAUUUUAAAAUCUUACAGAAACUAAAAAAAUACUUUGCAGAUGGCCUGUAAUAGCUCUUGUAUACAAAAAUAGAGAUGUCUUAGGUCUGACACUUGGUAGAGAGUGGUUUGUAACUGGCUUAUACUCUUUUAUAACAUAUGUAUGCAAGGGACACAGUUGUUUUUUCAGGGAUGGGGUGGGAGGAUAUUUUUGGCAAGCUAUUUUUGCAGAAGAAAUGCCAGGUGCCAGCACCUUCUCAAAUCCAGAGCUAUGGCCAAAAUUUGAGUGAAGCUGUGAAAUACCUUUGAUCACAUAGUUUUGUAUAUGAUGGUGUUAUUCUAAGUAUACUUGUGUGAAUACUCAGAGCUCAGUCUAUUUACUGCCUUUUUUUGGUUGGUUGGUUUUUUUGGGUUUUUUUGCUUAUCUAAGUGAUUUAUUACUUUUUUUAAAGCAUCUGGACGCUCUGACUCAUCAAUUAUUGGACAAUUGACUCACUGUUGGGUUUACCAGUGACUAAAUCUUGUCCUAAGCCAAAGGCUUGCAUAAAACACUUCUUCCUUAAAGUGGAAGUAAUUGCAUCCUAGGUGCUCACACUUUGUUUUGACAGGGAGAAAAGUGGUGGCCUCUGGAGACAGUCCACCAAGCAGUUUUUAGGAGAGGGCAUCAGCUUCCCUGGCUGAAGCAAUGGGAAGUUCUGCCCUGUUAUACAAAUGCAAAGCAAAAGUUUGAAGUAUUUAGGAAACUUUCACUUCCCUUUUAGCAUCAAACAGAACAGUUAUUUUUGGGGAUGAGCACAUUUAAUCCUGCCAUCCUGGAUACUUAGCCUAAUGGAAAAAGAGAGUGAUCCAGAUGUUCAGCUGCACCUUGGGCAACUGUCUUAGCAACACUCAUGAAAUGCUGAUAUGCUUGAAGAUAUGGAAGACAGUGAUAAAGAGCAUUUCUGCAGCAUUAAAAAUUAAAGCUUUGCCCUCUGAAAUGUAAGCAGAACACUACCUAGCAUUCUGCAUAUAUCAUAUCCAUAAGCUUUAGGAUGAUGUCUAGAAUUCCAAGUGAAUAUGGUUUCCUUAUUGUAUAGUAUUAACUAGCAUUUUUAUCCUACAGAAAUGGAAGCUGAGCAUCUGAUAGAGGAGCAUCUAAGAAAUAAACUUGUGCAUAUAUGUUUCAUUUUAUAUAUAUAGUAUGUACAUAUAAGCACACUAAAACUGUAUGUAGCAAAUUUUACCCACAGUCACCCUAGGUACCAAUAGAGUAUAUUUAACACUGAGAUAUUUCUAGGAAAAAUCAGUAAAUAUAUGUUUGUCCCAACUUAGGCUCAUUGAAUUACUGAGACGAAAUUACCCAAACCUCUUUUUUUCAAGUGGUUUCUCUGCGCCAAACACAGGGUUUCCAUCAAGGAACUGGGCUUGCUAGGAACGCUUAACUCCAUCACCCUGUAUGAAUGUGGAGCCAGAAGGGAAUCUUUCCAAUGGUCACUGUUUCUGUUUUAACAUUUCAGUCACCAGGAGGAGGGAGAAGACUUCAGUGUAUUACUGGAAGCUAUUCAUUUUAUGAACUGUACCAAUAACGUGGCUUAUAUUCUACUUGGUGACUAAAUUGGUUUCUGAGUUUAUAUUCACAGUAAUAAGUUUUAUCUAGUUAGGCUAUAAAACUGAACUUAUUAAUCAGGCACUAGCGAGGAUGGGGUUUUGAACAAGGUUUUUUUAGUUACUUUAGUAGCUAGAACACUGUUUUGGUGAUGGCUUUAAUACUGUCUUAAAAAUCUGAUCCAAAGAAUUAUGAAGGCUGAAGGAACAAAAUCACUGCUGUAGUACUUUAUUAAAGCAGUUCACAUUAUACUGAAGGCUUGUAAACUGGCCUGUUUCUGUGAGAGCCACUCUUCUGCCUCUUGGCUUGAUAGGCUAAUAAAAAAGAAGGGACAUACUGUAGACACUUGCAAGCUUUGGAACCAGGAGACUGAAAAGUAAGGGGUAAGACAGUACACGUCCUUUGAUAAGAAACUGGUCCAUACACAGGUUCAUGCAUUCUUCUUAUGAUAAAGGGUAUGAAACAAAACAAAUUGCUAUCCAUAGGUCUUUCAUCUUGAAACAGAGCAAUGAAAACUCAAGUGGUGGUUAUAGUCUCAAAGCCACUAGCUGGGAACAUUACAGAGUGCAGGUCUCAUUGCUGCCUGGAAUUGUUUUAAGCUAUACUGUAUUUACAUGAUGUCAUUUAAAAGGGAAAGAAUGAUGAAUGCUCAAUUAAUUGUAAAAUCAUAAACACACAGAGGAAACAUCUGACUAUUUUAAUAUACAUAUAUGAAUGAUCUUCAUGGCUGCAUAAUUCAGUUUAACAUGAAAUAAACUGGUUCUCCAGGAUGAACCAAUUCUACUAAGACUUCAUUAAAAAUUUCAUUCUGAGCCAGAUGGGAAGACUGAUGCCAGUCAAAUCCGUUGAAAGCUGCAGGAUAUGAUCACAGUGUUUGAAUCUUAAAGCAAUUCAAAGUGGAAGUGACAGUGAAUAAGCACUGGGGUAUUUGGGUAACCCUAAGCCAAACUGGUAGGGGGUUUCCUAUACUGGAAUGAAUUCUGCAGCACCUAGCUCCAGAAACCUUGAGCUCAGUGAAUCCUGAUGGGCUGCUGGCUAGGCAGGUUUGGCAGCCUGGAUGCACACAUUUUAUCAGUUCAGGGCUCUCUCACCUCUUUUCUGUUGAAUUUGGCUUCCAUCACAGAGUAAGGCAACUUCUAGGGUAGCUGAAAUGUGCAGCCCACCUCUGGUUCUCCAUGCACCACCGGAAAGGUGCAAAAACUCUGCACGGUCACAGUUGACCCCAAAUCACAGACACAAAGCCAUGCCCUUGCUGGAUCUCUGCUUGUAGCCUACAGGCAGAAUGUGGUGGAGAACAAAGCAUGCAGAGUUUUAUCAGGAGGACUUCAGCUGUCCUUCUACCUUCUUUGUUCCAGGGAGUUCCAGUGAGUUGUCCUAGAACAUAGUGAUGCGUCUCUGGAAGCCAAAACUGGCCCUUUUUCUUCAAACAACUUUGUUCUCUCAAUUUUUAUUUAAUCAGUAGAGUCUCUACAAGAAAACUUAGCAUGACUGAGUAGAGCUUUCUUUUCUAGUAGUGAAAGUCAACACAAUGUUCUGAAAUCACAGCGAAUAUCAAAUUCCUGACAACUUGAUGGCAUCUCCAGAUGCUGAGAUGAAAUAAUCCAGAGGAGUGUAGAUUAUCUGAUAAAUAUCGACACUGAUCCCAAAUGGUCCUAAAGGAGGAAGGUGUUCUAGCUUACGAGGACUUUUCUGUGUUGCUCUCUACUCCCUCAAGAAAUGUGUCUGCCUAUGAACUCUGUGCAAAUAAAAAGCACUGUUUACAGAAAGGAUCCUUCUUUUAGCUCUGCAGCAGCUGCAAAUGCUGAGAGUGAUCUUGUUCACCUCUUAGACACCAGAAAAACCUGUGUGGCAGAACUAUCACACAGCUUUAUGUUCAUGUAGCACCUCCAGUACAGCUUUUCAGAAAAGGCCUGUGUGUGAUUCCCUGAUAAAAAUGAUGAGUGAAUAAUCACUGGCAGUAUACAUGCAAAUUGGCUUUCCAAAACAUGGAGCCACAAGACAAAGUUUAUCAAUCAAGGGCACCAAAGCAAUUGUGAGCAGUCCCCAGAGAAUUAGUCCUCCAAGAAUGCAUGAAAUCAAUCUGGCAGCCUCUGAAAUACACAGUUGCUUAUGUCCAUACAAAUAUUCACCCUCUCACCAUGGAGGCACAAAGGAGUGCAGAUUAAAAGGAUUGUUUCAGGACUGAAACAGUCACUCUGCAGCAAGAAGCCAAGCAAAGACUGAUAAUUAUUUUAUCUGUGCUGAACAACAUUGUAAGCAAAUUGCACAUAAUUAUGACAAAAUACCAUCAACAACAUGACAGUCUCCUGUUUUGUGCUGGGGCAUUUGGCACACAGCACUGCCGAGUCAAAUGUUUGCUCCCUUUCUGAUGCUCGGUGUUUGUUUUUUUUGUCUGUUGAUUUGAUUCACACUCUUGCUUCAAUAAAUACUUUUUAUACUGUCA